rnacentral:sRNA from 1 species
UGUUAUGAGUCCGAGCACGGUGGGCGU